UACGAAGGGGGCUAGCGUUGCUCGGAAUUACUGGGCGUAAAGCGUGUGUAGGCGGCCACGUAAGUCGGAUGUGAAAGCCCCAGGCUCAACCUGGGAAGUGCACUCGAUACUGCGUGGCUUGAGUAUCGGAGAGGUUGGUGGAAUUCUCGGUGUAGAGGUGAAAUUCGUAGAUAUCGAGAGGAACACCGGUGGCGAAGGCGGCCAACUGGACGAAUACUGACGCUGAGACACGAAAGCGUGGGGAGCAAACAGG
rnacentral:rRNA from 1 species